rnacentral:lncRNA from 1 species
UUUUAUUCACUAGUUUUAAACCCCACAACUCAUUCGAUAAAAUGCUUCACAGAAUCUAGUUUCGGCUGCACAGGUAUAUCUCAGUUUUGAGCUUUUGGUUGUUCAAUUAUUUUGCAUUGCGAUGAUUAUGAAAUGUGAAACUCGUUGCCUAACAAGGUUGGGUUUUGACUCAGAAUUUUCGAUUUUUUAUUUGCAUACAAAGUUUUUGGUCGAUUGACGUUUCUCAUUUUAUUGAAUUUGGUAUUAUUAUAGAGUUACGUAUCGUCUCUUAAACUGUAUUUUGCAAUUUCUGUGAAAGAUGACAAUAUUAGCAUCAUGUGCACGGCAAGGUAAUAUGCGCCUUUUUUUCUUUUUGACUUGGCAAAUCAACACGGAAACUUAAAAACCGCAAUUUUCUUCGUCCCUUAAUUUAUUAUUCUUUUUAUAAAAUAAAACAAACAAUUUUAAUUAAUAAAUCAUGAUAAAAGGAAAACUCUUUUGAAAUAUUGAAGUUAUUAUUAAUAUGCAUUUCAUGAAAACCGAAGAGAUGACCAUUUAUGGAUAAGGCGCAAUGACUUGUUAGAGCAUCACGCCACAUAGGUAGGACUAGGGAUAUUUAUGGUUCGUUUUGGAUUAGUUUUUUUCAAAAAAAUUAAAAUAAGUAAAUCAGUUUUUCAAAUAUUAGAAUCAAAUCAAAUUAAAUCAAUUAAAUCGAUUUUUCUCGAUUUGGUUUAUGUUAUUUUUUGAUUUUUUUUUUUUGGUGAUUUGUCGGUUUUUUCUUAAAUAUAAGACAUUCACUAUCAAGGACAUAUUCCGGCGGCAACAUUUUCAAUGUAACAUUAUCAAAUCAAUUGUCCUUUGAGAAAUCUAUUAUUUACCAAAAUAUAUUGAUGAUAAUUGAAUNNNNNNNNNNNNNNNNNNNNNNNNNNNNNNNNNNNNNNNNNNNNNNNNNNNNNNNNNNNNNNNNNNNNNNUUUACCAAAAUAUAUUGAUGAUAAUUGAAUCAAAUAGUGAUGAAUAAUUUAAGGACUCAAUUAAAAAUAUGUUAUUUUUAACACGAAAUGGAUUCGUACACUAAACAAAAGAAAACUACAAAUCAAACUAGAAUGUAAAGAUAAAGAACUAUAUUAAAAGUGUAAACUAUUAACAUUUACCAUAAAGUUUUUGAAACUUUCUAUAAUAAUAUACAUAUAUAUAGGUGUAAUAAUAAAUUUGAAAUAGACUCCUUUAUUCGGUUUGGUUCGGUUUUUUUUUAUUAAAACCAAACCAAACCAAAGUUGAUCGGUUUUUAAAAUUCAAAGUCAAACCAGACCAAACCAAGAAGUAUCGUGUUCUUUUGAUCGGUAUGGUUUAGUUUUCGAUUUGGUUCGAUUUUCUGGAUUUUUAUGAACAUCCCUAGGUAGGACCAUACGAUAUUAAUUCAAAUACUUUCACAUUUAAGAUACAUUUUAACCAUUUACUUCAAAUAAUUUUGCAUUUAAGAUCAGUUUGACCAAUUAGUUUCUUCAAAUAUUUUUUUAUUUCUCGAACUUUCUGCUCCUUUCACGCAUUUUUUAGAUCGAAAAGUCAAAUGCAAUAUUCCCUCCGGUUUAAAAUAAAUAAUUUUUUGAUUGUUUUCAUACAUAUUAAGAAAUCUAUCUUUUAGUAUUAAUUAGUAAUGGAUUGAUCAUAUUAACUUUUAUUAUCUCACAUAAAUAUUUUUAUCACAUAUUCCGACACUAAUAACCCAAGGACAAUAUAGAAAAAAAGGAAUUAAUUCAUUUUUGAAAUUUGAAAAAGUUAUUUAUUUUAGAAUACAAGUAAAAGAUCAAAAAAUCACUUAUUGUGAGUCGGAGGAAAUAGUAUAAUUAAGCAUCCUUCUUUAGUUUGACUUGCAAAUAAAACAAUAUGGAAUGUCAAUGAAAAGGAUAAGGAUAGGAAAAAUAAACUUAUUUGAAACUUAGAAAAUGGAUCAUUUCCAAUUAUCAUGAAAAAUACAAAAGUGUGAAUGAUCCGCCACAGGAUAUAACUUUUAUAUUUUAAGUUUUAUAUAUAAUUAGUCAACUACCAACAACCGCCAGGGAUGGAUCGAUCCCUUAAUCCUUCGGAAAUUUUGAGUUCGAACCUUGAAUGUAUCUCUUUUUUGGUAAUUAAGGCUUUUCAUUAAUCACCAAUGAAGUAACAUUACAAAAUCAUAGUCUAGCUUCAUCUCAGCUGACUAUCUGUAAGAUAACAUUUAAACUGUAUCUACUAUCCUAACUACCUAUCACUACUAUAUUCCAAGGUGUUGUAAUUCUUUUCUAAUUCUUGGGGUACCUCUAACAUUAGAAUUAUACACUACUUAUAGAAGUGUAUAAUAAGGAGAGAUUUCUAUUUUUCAAAUUAGUUGAAAGUCUCAAUACAAAUAACAAUACUUAUUCAAAUUAAUAUUUUUUUUUGAUGAAUGUAGUUGGACCAGUUCGCCGCAUAUUAAAAAAAUGGACAGACGAUGGUGAACUACCUUUUGUAGUGUUUUGGUUUCUUAUUCGGUGUCCAAUAUUUGUAUUGGUUUCUUAUUCGGUGUCCAAAAAUGUGGGCUAGAUUUAAAGCACUAGUUUGCUUAUCGCAGAAUAUAUUAUAAAAUUGUAUUAGGAGACUCAAUUUCUAAGUCUACCUGUCUAUCUAAUUCUUUGUGUAAUCUAUCUAUUCUUUUUAAUAGAUUUAUUACAAAUUCUUCUUGCUUUUUGAUUACUUUAUCCUUUGCUAGCAUUAAAUCAUGUUGCUCUUCAUUUUCAUCUUCUAAUUUCUUUAUUCUUUGUUUUAAAUCUAUAUUUUGUAUUAUUAAUCUUUCCAUUUUAUAUCUUAUUGCUUAGAUUUGAAACUAAUAUGUUUAAUUCACCUAUCUGCUUAUUCAUUUUUCUUAUUUCUUGAUCUUCUUCAAAUAAUGUCUUCUUGCUUGUUGGUCUAUUUAUUUGACUAGAACUUGGUAAUAAAUUACUUUGUUCUAUCAUAAAGGGUAGAUUUCUCGAACUAUGGGUUCUAAGAAACUCUCUUGAUACUUCAUCCUUUUUUAUUAAUGUACUAGUUUAACUAAUUGAAUUAUGGCUUCUAAGAAAUUCUCUUGAUACUUCAUCAUUUUUUAUUAAUGCACUGGUUUCACUAAAUAAUUUUCUAUAUAAAUAUUUUUCCAAUUCUUGUAAGUUAAACUUAAACAAGAGUUACUUAAUGCAUAGGCUAUCCUGUAGCAUAUUACUAAAAGGAUAUCGCCUUUUUCCAUUAAAUCUUUUUCUAGGAAAUUACAAAUUAUUCCUAGACAAUUGUCUAUUUUCUUUGUGCUUAGUGGUACAGGGAACUGAAGAGAUACUCAAAACUUUAUUGUUGUAUAUCCUAGAUCUCCUUCAAUUUCUCCUAACUUUUUGAAUUGAUUUUUCAUAAUUCUAUUGUUUUCAACUGUUAGAAUUACAGAUGUUUUAAUACCUUCUCUAAACGUUGAUCUAAGGAUUAUUUGUAUUGUAUUGAUAUGUAUGUAUCCUAUCUUACUUCUAUCUUCGCCUUUAAUAGCUGCUAAUCUUUUUUCAAUUUGAUUUAUAUCAACUAGCGGUGCUUGAAACGUAGUAGUUGCCUGUUCUAUUUUAACAGGUUGUUCUCCUUGCAUAAUACCAUAAUAUAUAAUAUUUUUCCUAGAUAUUUUUUGAAACAAAAGUUGUUUUAACUCCUUCUGUUUCAAUUAUAUCUAAACUUCCUUUAUAUUUUACUUGGUUAACUAUUUUCUUAUCUAAUAAAAUAUCUUGAAUAUAUUUUCCUUGAUUUUCUUCUAACUGAAUGAUAUUAUUAUCUAAAUCCAUUAGAUUAGAUUUUCUCUGAUCUGAUAUGGAUUUAGUCUUAUUCGUGGAAUUCUGACUGUGGGAAUCUAAAUCCAUUAGAUUAGAUUUUCUCUAAUCUGAUAUGGAUUUAGUCUUAUUCGUGAAAUUCUGAAUUGCUUUCCUUCUAUAUUUAACACUAACUCUUCAUUUCUAAUUGUAUACUCAAAAUGUUCUAAGAAGUCUAUUCCCAAUAGUACUUCUCUUGCUUUCUCUUGAUAAUCUACUAAAAGUUCUACU